GACGAACGCUGGCGGCGUGCUUAACACAUGCAAGUCGAACGGAAAGGCCCUGCUUUUGUGGGGUGCUCGAGUGGCGAACGGGUGAGUAACACGUGAGUAACCUGCCCUUGACUUUGGGAUAACUUCAGGAAACUGGGGCUAAUACCGGAUAGGAGCUCCUGCUGCAUGGUGGGGGUUGGAAAGUUUCGGCGGUUGGGGAUGGACUCGCGGCUUAUCAGCUUGUUGGUGGGGUAGUGGCUUACCAAGGCUUUGACGGGUAGCCGGCCUGAGAGGGUGACCGGCCAAAUUGGGAUGGAGAUACGGCACAGACUAGUACGGGAGGCAGCAGUGGGGAAUAUUGCACAAUGGGCGGAAGGCUGAUGCAGCAACGCCGCGUGCGGGAUGACGGCCUUCGGGUUGUAAACCGAUUUCGCCUGUGACGAAGAGUGAGUGACGGUAAUGGGUAAAGAAGCACCGGCUAACUACGUG
rnacentral:rRNA from 1 species